rnacentral:lncRNA from 1 species
UGUUGAAAAUGGAAGGGUCAAGAGAAGGUCGAAAAGGUGUCUUGUCCAUUUAUGCAGAAAUCUUUGAGAUUACACUAAAUUUUCAUCUGGUUGAGGUGAAGAAGGCAAGGGGAGAUAGCUUGGAGUAUUUGAAGGUGGUGACAGAGGACAUAGAGCCAGCACUGAAAGACAUUAUCUGAACUUGGCAGGGUUACCUAUCAAAAUCUAACCAGCAGUAAUAAGAAACAGUACAUCAGAGGAAUUAUGAAAUAUUGUGAUAAUGGUCCGUUCGUUCAUACGAGCUUGUAACACUUAAGUUCUGUGCAUGAGUGCUUCCAUCGCAGGCUUGUGGAUAGCUUCCUUAUCUUUAUAGGAAAUCUUUAUGCAGCCACUAUAUUGUGAUGUAAUCUAAAUAAGUUUGCAGUGGCAGAUGCUCUGCCCUUGCGUUUUGAGACAUUUGGUGGCCAAUUGAAUACAAUGACAAUCAGGACCCAAUCGUCUAUUUCGUAUUUCUCCAUUCAUUCAUCCAUUGAUAGGCUACCUAAUCAAUCAACGGAACAUAUAAGAGUAUGAUAUCCCUUGAGUAGUUAUAUUUACUCGAAAUUAUACUUUGACUUGUCGAAGUUAACAUAUUUCUAAGCCAUUCAACAAACAUUGGCAGCGUUUUGGAAGCCAGGUAUGGGUGUAUACAAUAAAUAGCUUAAAGCCAACCUCUUUUUAUUUCAGUUUUAUCAUGAAGUUGAUGUUAGGAGGGUUAUGGAUGGCUGCCCAUGGUCGUUUUACAGAAGAGCAUUGGUUAUGUCUCGGAUGAAGGAAGGGAAUAAUUUACGUUGCGUUGAUUUGAACUCCAUGUAUCUGUGGGUUCAAAUCUAUGAUCUUAAGGCAGGAAGGAAGUUGAUACUUAUAUUGGCAAGUUGUGGCCUCUGCUUCUAGUGAUUUCGUGGGAGUUUGGAGAGAUUGUUUAUGUGUGCGUGUUAUCAUAGAUGACACUAAACCUCUCAAACGCAGAAUGGAAGUUAGAAAUGCAGGAGGGGAGUGGGUUUUGUAUAUCGUUCCAAGUAUGAGAACGUCCCUACCUUUAAUUUGUUUUAUUUGUGAUGUCCCGGGACACUGAGAACUUCUGUAGUCGUUUAUUUGUAACACCAGAAUGAAAAAUUGUUAAACCUUAUUUAUGGUGAUUUCAUGAGAGCACCUUUUGGCAUGUGAAACCUAUUGGUGCGAAAUGGCCCUGUAAUGGAACAGAGGGUGGUUGUGAUUUGUGACCAUCCUCAGAUCCGGGUCUGGAUCUGGUGUUAACAUAGAAAUCAUCUCACAGUAUCAUAAUCCCCGCUAAAUGAUUUGAAUUUUAUGUAUUGGAUAAUAAAUAUGUUGUUCUUGUAGUGUUUUUUGAAUUACAUGCCAUGUAUUUGAAUUUAUGAUUUUUUUAAAAAUAUAUAUCAACUGAAAAAAUUAUAUUUUUAUUGCGUUUAACUUGCUUGUUACGUUUGAUUAUGACUCAUUUGAUAUAUUAUUAUGGGUCGUUUGACGUAACUUAAAAAAAUGCUUAUUACUUAUAAAUGAGAAGUUAAUAAUAAGUUUAAUUUUUAUUUAUGUGUUCAGAUAUGUUUUUUGAUACUUACAACUUAUUAGAUAUAAAAAUUAUUAAAAUAAUCAUAGAUUAAUGUAAAUUAUCAUUAAAAUGUUCAUCUACAUAUUUGUAAAAUCAACCGGUCGCAAAAAAAUUAGGAUUUCCAAACUUCUUGUAUUCCACCUGACAGUUGAUUUAUAAAUUUAUUACUUCAAACGAUACAAAUUGCUGCUUUUUAUCUCAUAAAUCCAGAAACUAAGCCCGGUCAAACACCCAUUAACUGUUGUGCUUAUCAUAUUAAUGUUUUCUGCUCCGAGCACAAGUGCACAACUAACACAGCUGUUAUCUCACGGAAAUGAUGAUGUACGCUAAGUCUCUAAUUGACAAUUAGCCGGUUUCUUUUGGGUUAAAUAUCAAGUUGGUCACUGAAUUAUUCUUAAUGUAUCAAGUUGGUCACUGAACUCAAAACAGUAUCAAGAUGGUCACUAAGGUCACCAUAAAUAUCAAACAAGUACCUUGAAAUAUGAGUUCAAGAAAUAAAAAUAUUAUUUAUAAAAUUUUACACAUUAUUCUUAAAUGUUACCACAACCAACUAAAAGGUUAUGACUUCUAGUAUUUACAAUAAUAUAUUUAUAUUUUAUCAAGUUUAUUUAUUAUUUAUAUUUUAUUAUAUAGUUAUUUUUUUUGUUUUAAUUAAAAAUAAAUAAUAAAUAAACUUAAUAAAAUCUAAAUAUAUUAUCAUAAAUAUUAGAAGUCAUAACUUUUUACUUGAUUUUGGUAACAUUCAAAAAUAAUGUGUAAAAGUUUAUAGACAAUAUUUUUACUGCUUAAACUUAUAUUCAAGGUACUUGUUUGAUAUUUACGGCCACUUCAGUAAUCAUCUUGAUAUCGUUUUGAGUUUAGUGAUCAAUUUGAUUCAUUAAGCCCACUUCAGUAACCAACUAGAUAAUUAACUCGUUUCUUUUGUGCAACUAGUGGUUGUAAUUUGUAAAUUAUUCGCACUCUUGAUUAUUUUAGUUGGUUUAUGAAUUAUGCCUGUACCUACCUCAAACUUAUUGUAUCAUAAAUUGUACUAUGACACUAUGACAGAGAUUGAAGUGGGUGAUGGAGCAUUUAUGACAGGGGAGGAACUCGGGGGACCGAAGGGAGCCUCGGUCCCCGCCAACUUCGAAAUAACCGUAAAAUUUUAAUAUAAAAAUUUAAAAUUUUUUAUGAUUUCUAUUUUCGGUCCCCACUAAAUAUAAAAAAAAUUGAAAAUGAAAAUUGGGUAAACAAAUUUUAUUAAUUUUGUUAAAUAUAUAUCUAAUCUAACCCAUAUUAUUUUUGAUGUAUUAUAUAUAGUUAUUUAUUAGCUAAUAAAACAAACAUAACAUGUAAAUUGUAAAGUAAGAUAGCAGGGAGGGGGGAACGACUAACACAUUAAGAAAAAACAGAACACUGACUUGUCUGCUUUAAACCCCCAAAACCAAAAUCCCCAAUUUACAAAUUACAAUCCCUAGUUUUAUCAGUAACAUGAGCAAGAGAAAAGAAAUCACAUCUUAUUUUCAACCCAAGAAGAAGCAACCUAUCUUUGAAAUUGAAGCACAACCUAUUCCUACUGCUGCCUCAGUUAGAGUCACUGGAGAUGGAGAUCAUGGAGUCGAGCCUCAGAUUUUCGGCGGGGCAAACAACAACUCCGAGCAACAUGAUGUUAAUAGAGGUGCUAACUCUGAUAAUAUUGAUGAAAGUAUUGAUUUUAAUUCAUUGAUACGUGAUCCUGGUUUGCGGAAACAAAUUGAGACUUAUGACCCAAAUAAAAAAGAUUUAAUUAGGAGGGCAUAUAUUGAUCUUGGUCCAUAUCAACCUGUGCAAGUCUAUCCUUUCUCGGGUCCAGAACAUCAUCCCCGUCGAUUUCAAAAAUGUUGGGUUCAGCGAGCAAACGACAGAGCUUCUAAUUCUGAGUACAUCACUAAAUCCUAGGGAUGGUUACAAAUCUUUCAAUAUAGAGAACAUUUGCAAGCUAGCUGAAAAUUUUUAUUCAGAAGAUUUUUUGGGAGAUGAAAAAAUUCACUUAAGGUAUGAACUACAACAUUAUGGCUUAGAUGUUCCUGUUCAUCCAGAUUUGAAGAAUUUGUCUACUCUUGGAGAUUUAUGUCAUGGAUUGGUAACCACCGGCAAAGCUGACAUGUAUCCAUUAGUUGAUAGACUAUUGAGGCUUGUCUUGACUCUUCCGGCAUCUACGGCAACAUCUGAACGGGCUUUUUCAGCUAUGAAAAUUGUGAAAACAAGUCUUCGGAAUCGUAUGGAAGAUGAGUUUCUUAGAGAUUAUUUGUUGCUAUAUAUUGAAAAGGAGAUUGCCGAGACCAUUUCUACUGACGAGAUUAUUGAUUCAUUUUAUUCAAUCAAAGAAAGGCGCGCGCAUCUCAAAUAAACCGGUAUGUUUUCUACUUUAAUCAAUUUGGUCCCUCCCAUAUUUGAAUCCUGGUUCCGCCCCUGAUUUAUGAUGAAUACGAUAAAAUCGGAAUUUCAAAUUUAAUUUUAAAUUAAAGAUUUUGCUAUAUAGAACAAAAAUAUCAUUUACUUGCUCGAUAAAAUCAUUCAUUUCUCAUUUUUAAGAUAACCACUCCCGUAUUAUAUAGCUCUCGUCCGCAUUCCCACUUGGCAUCCAAAUUAUGGUUAGCUAUAUCAAUCUGUUCAUGAAUAAGACUGAGUUUGUUGUUGGUCAUCUGUCGAUCUUAAUGUUGCUUGUCAUUAUUGUUUUUAUUACUUACCUUCUGCUAAUUAGCCUAAUUUCAAGUCAACACAAAUACUCAACUUGCAAGAUUAGGAGUUUACAAAGGGGAACUAAAGAGGAGCAUCAUCAUGUAUUUUAAGCUGCCUCUCUUUUUGAUUUUAUGGUAUGUAAUAAUGAAAAUUAUGAAUCUCAGAUAGGAAUUUGUAGCAUGUAUAUUUUUUGUAUGAUCUGUGGUUUGCUGCAAUAGCUUUUGCAUAUGAGUACUGUUAUACUACAAUUUUGACAUGUAAACUGUUCAUUUGAUAUAUUUAAACACUUUGAUUUGCUUCAAAGAAUCAUUGUGGUCUAUAUGUUUACUCUUGUUCAUUGCCUCUCUAAGUCUUACGUUACAAAGUACUGAGAUCUUCUAUAAUCUUCCCUCCCUUGUUUGUAUCUAAUCAGAACCUAUUGACUUUGUUUUCGGUUUUCAGGUAAUUUAUCUCUUACAAUGUCUGCUUUCGCUCAAUGUCUUAGCAGUCUGCAUUUUGUGACAUGAUGGGCCGUUUGAAUAAGAUUAAAAAAAGUGCUUCUUGCUUAAAGUAAAAAAAAUGGAUUAGAAAUGAGAAGUAAAUUAAGACUUAUAAGUGAUUAAGCUGUUUGGGAAAGAAGUAGAAGUCCUGAAACAAAAGGCAGCGUUCUCAGCUUCUUGUAAGUGUUUCUGGCUUUUUACACAAACUAGUCAAGAAAAGUAGAAGGCGGCUUCUUAUCGAAAAAAGCCGGAAGUACUGUUUCCCAGACAGCAACGAUGUUGUGGUGAUUGUAUAUGAUUUGAAAUCUAGAGCUACAAGAUAUAAGCCGUAGAUUGCAUCAGCUGGAGAAAUUGUUGUAUUGUAUUGUGUUUUAAAUUUGAUAUAUUGUUAUGGAACAUAAACCAGUUGUGUUGAUGGAGCGCUAUGAGUUGGGGAGACUUUUAGGGAAAGGCACCUUUGCCAAGGUCUAUUUUGCAAGGAACAUUAAAACUGGCAUGAGUGUUGCCAUUAAGAUGAUUGACAAAGAAAAGGUUAUGAAGGUUGGGAUGAUUGAGCAAAUUAAAAGAGAGAUUUCAGUCAUGAGAUUGGUUAAACACCCCAACAUAGUGCAGCUUUACGAAGUUAUGGCUAGCAAAUCCAAGGUUUAUUUUGUAAUGGAACAUGUUAGAGGCGGUGAGCUGUUUAAUAAGGUGUCGAAGGGGAAGCUUAAUGAAGAUGCUGCAAAGAUGUAUUUUAAGCAGUUGAUUAGUGCUGUAGAUUUCUGUCAUAGUAGAGGAGUGUAUCACAGGGAUUUGAAACUAGAGAACAUAUUGUUAGAUGAGAAUGGGAAUAUUAAGGUCACAGAUUUCGGAUUGAGUGCUCUUGCUGAAUCAAAGUGUCAAGAUGGAAUGCUUCACACGACGUGUGGGACGCCUGCUUAUGUUGCUCCAGAAGUGAUUGGUAAAACAGGUUAUGAUGGAUGUAAAGCUGAUAUCUGGUCAUGUGGAGUGAUUUUGUAUGUUCUUCUGGCUGGAUAUCUCCCAUUCUAUGAUUCUAAUUUGAUAGAAAUGUAUAGGAAGAUUGUCAAGGCAGAGUUCAAGUAUCCCAGUAAAUUCCCAAUAGAAGCACGCAGAUUAGUAUCAAAGAUGUUGGAUCCAGAUCCGAGUACAAGAAUAUCCGUAACCAAGAUUAUGCAAAAACCUUGGUUCCAGAUAGGGUUCGACUCCAACACAAGAAAAGCUGAGACAGCAGAAAAAGAGCCUGAUGUUUUCAGCUCUUUAGAGAGUAGCAGCAACUUAUUAGAACGACCAGAACGAGACAAGCUAGGUGACCUAAAUGCUUUCGAUAUCAUCUCCCUUUCAGCAGGCUUUGACUUGUCAUGUCUAUUUGAGAAGAAGUAUCAAAAGAAGGAAUUAAGAAUAACAUCCAUGCAGCCACUCCAGACAAUCAUUUCUAAGUUUGAAGACAUAGCUAAAAAGCUAAGAUUGCAACUAACUAAGGAGGGAGGUCUGUUGAAAAUGGAAGGGUCAAGAGAAGGUCGAAAAGGUGUCUUGUCCAUUUAUGCAGAAAUCUUUGAGAUUACACCAGAUUUUCAUCUGGUUGAGGUCAAGAAGGCAAGGGGAGAUACCUUAGAGUAUCAGAAGGUGGUGACAGAGGACAUACAGCCAGCACUGAAAGACAUUGUCUGAACUUGGCAGGGUUACCUAUCAAAAUCUAACCAGUAGUAAUAAGAAACAGUGUCUCACAUCAGAGGA